rnacentral:rRNA from 1 species
GAGUUUGAUCCUGGCUCAGGAUGAACGCUAGCUACAGGCUUAACACAUGCAAGUCGAGGGGCAGCAUGGUCUUAGCUUGCUAAGGCCGAUGGCGACCGGCGCACGGGUGAGUAACACGUAUCCAACCUGCCGUCUACUCUUGGACAGCCUUCUGAAAGGAAGAUUAAUACAAGAUGGCAUCAUGAGUCCGCAUGUUCACAUGAUUAAAGGUAUUCCGGUAGACGAUGGGGAUGCGUUCCAUUAGAUAGUAGGCGGGGUAACGGCCCACCUAGUCUUCGAUGGAUAGGGGUUCUGAGAGGAAGGUCCCCCACAUUGGAACUGAGACACGGUCCAAACUCCUACGGGAGGCAGCAGUGAGGAAUAUUGGUCAAUGGGCGAGAGCCUGAACCAGCCAAGUAGCGUGAAGGAUGACUGCCCUAUGGGUUGUAAACUUCUUUUAUAAAGGAAUAAAGUCGGGUAUGGAUACCCGUUUGCAUGUACUUUAUGAAUAAGGAUCGGCUAACUCCGUGCCAG